UGGGGAAUAUUGGACAAUGGGCGAAAGCCUGAUCCAGCAAUACCGAGUGAGUGAUGAAGGCCCUAGGGUUGUAAAGCUCUUUUAGCAAGGAAGAUAAUGACGUUACUUGCAGAAAAAGCCCCGGCUAACUCCGUGCCAGCAGCCGCGGUAAGACGGAGGGGGCUAGCGUUGUUCGGAAUUACUGGGCGUAAAGAGUGCGUAGGCGGUUUAGUAAGUUGGAAGUGAGAGCCCGAGGCUUAACCUCGGAAUUGCUUUCAAAACUACUAAUCUAGAGUGUAGUAGGGGAUGAUGGAAUUCCUAGUGUAGAGGUGAAGUUCUUAGAUAUUAGGAGGAACACCGGUGGCGAAGGCGGUCAUCUGGGCUACAACUGACGCUGAUGCACGAAAGCGUGGGGAGCAAACA
rnacentral:rRNA from 1 species